UCUGUUUCUCUCCGCCUCCCUCAAGCCUCAGCUACCUCCCUCAGCUCUCCGUCUCUGUGUAAGUCGAAUAUAUUGGUUUGUAUACAAACUGUAAAUAGAGCUGAAAUUCUUUGUGGGUUUCUGAUUUGAUUAUCAGAAUCAGUCCAGUUAGAUUUAUCAUCUCUGUGUGUUUGCUCUUUGAUUGGUUUCUAAGAAAACUGUGGGUAUUGCUACGUUCGGGUUUUCAUAUUUUUCUCACGUUUGGGGUGUUGCUAGUGGUGUUAUUUUUCGUGGGUUGAACUCAAAAUUUAAACUUUUUUGGUUCGUUCCCCACAUUUUCUCGGCAACCAAACGUAGGAUUGGUGGAUAUUCACUCCUAGUUUCUUGUUAAUUUAGUUGGAUUUUUAAUACUUUCAGAUUUUGGGCUUUUUUUCUAUGUGAAUAUCCUGUUUGGGUUUGAUUUUCUUGCGCUUUGUGAUGUGGGUUUGGCUUGAAUCGUUUUUUUAAGGACCCAUUUCGAUUUUUUUUUUUUCAAGUUUUUAACUAAAGAGCUGUGCUCCUCUGCCUCUCUCACUGAGUUCUCUCUACGUGUGUAACAGUGAACAACCCUUUUCAUAUUGAUGAAAAAGAACUACUUUGGAUCUGAUGGGUUGGUGGGGUUUUGUGUUUUCUGUGAUGUUAUGUUGUUUUAUUGUGUUAUUUUUCUUAGCAUUGUCUAAUUUUCGGUGUAUAUAUGUCUAUAAUCAAUGGGGGGUUUUUGUAUGUUGUUGACAAUAUGAGAAUGUGGAAAAGAAUGGUUGUAAUUAGAGUGAGCCAACAUUUGGUGCAAGGUUUCUACUUUCAAGGCAUGCAAGGCUUAUUACCCAUUAGUAUGAAAUUGACUAAAAGAAAAAGCAAAAAAAGUAGAAUUUUCCAUUGGGUUAGUGGAGCCUUAAGGCUUUACCCAUCUUGGAAUGCACAGGAAUCUGCUUUCAAUACACUGGUUGGACCCAAGGAAAGUAUUUGGUACGUUUUUAUGGACAGUGGGGCUGAGAUGUAUAUACUAUAUAUUGAUCUAGUUGUUAUUUGAAAUCUAAAGUUGAAGAAAAUGAAUAAGUUUUUGAAUGAAA